UCUAUUUUGAAAUCCAUAAAACAGUGGUACUAGACGCUCUUUUUAUGGAUUUUCAAAAGAAAACCAAAGCUAACUACGACAGAGUGAUGUCUCGCGUGUUUAACCGGUCACAUGCUAGUCUAAGAUCCACUUCAAAUGUGACACGACACGAAGUACCAUCAUCAGUGCGCGUUGGCGCGAAACCGUCUGUUUCGGCCGUGAGUUCUAGUGUUUUUAGUGAACUUCCGACGGUGUUAAAUGACUAUGUGCCCGAAGUGCGUGUAGAAAAAGUAGUUAAAAGGCCGUUAGUAAGGCCUAGAAGGACUUUAAAGUCUCUGGACCCUGGUAAAGCUAAGUCUCCUUCGAGGCCGUCUCGAGCGCGCGGAAGUGGCAAUGUUAGUAAUAUUAGGGCUCGUAGCUCGGUGCCUACGGUGUUGAGUAAUAACGAAGAGCAGUGGUCAGAGUCUCACGUUCGACAAUGCUAUAGUAGCAGGUCUCAUACCAGACUGAAGGAAUUGAAGGAUGAAAUAAAAGCUUUCCGUGAGACAGAUAAGCUGUUGAAGAUACGCAGUCACCUUUAUAAGAGCUGCGGAGUGGUGCUCGAUGAUGUUGGGAACGUCGCUCAAAACAAGGCGGUCCAGGCUGACCCCGAACCAGAAAAGGAAAUUACAUCAUCAAGG